rnacentral:lncRNA from 1 species
GCGGGAAUCCAUUCCAGGUUGACUCCACCAGCGAGAAUCACAGGCGCCGCUGCCGCCUCGCCUCGGGCGUGGACCCUGCGGCUCGGGCCUGCGCGUGUGCACCCCGAGGUUGUCUCACUUCCUGUUCAGGGCGACCAGCGCUGCGCCCUCCCCACUCCACAGAUGAGGAAGCUGAGGUUAAAGUCACUUGCCCCAGGUCACUCCGCAAGUUGAAGCGCAACCAGGAUACUCUGGAACAGGAUGCCUGACUUCAGAGGAGAGGCGCGUAACCACCAGGCAACUGGCCCCACGAAAACAAGUCCCGCAACUUCCCUUCUUUGGCUCCUACUUGCUCCCGGAAGAAAAGCCUUAAACGACAGCAGAUCAGGAGCACCCCGCGCGCCCCCCCCCGCCCCGCCCCGCGUCGGCGCCGGCCCCCUGCAAUGGUUGGCGGUAUGGGGAGGUGAACCAAGAAGGCCAGGAGUUCAAGUGCGUGAUCCCCCACUGGGGCAUAUAGGUUACAGCCGCCAGGGCAACUGAAACUCCUCAGGCUCCAGAGGGCUGAAGUGAGUCGCCUCCACGUUCUUGAGGUGCUUCCGAGCCAGGAACAGUGCGAGGCGCCGGCGCCGCCGCGAGCUCAGGCCCUGGCCCACCAGCCAUGGGAAGGCGGGUCCGUGUGGCCCCAGGGCCUCCUCGCCCUCCAGCUCCUCUUCGCAGCGUGCACGGUAGGAGCGCAGCAGCGCCAGGCACCAGUCCUCGUCCACGCGGUAGCGUGCAUAGAAGGCGGCCUCCUGCGCCAAGCUGCCAGCGCGCAGCCAGCGGGUGACGACGGCGCGGCCCUCUCGCGCCAUCACGACGGGGUAGCGGUGCUCCAGCAGGCGCAGCAGCAGCUCAUUGCCCCGGUUGCCCUCCACGUCACCAGGUGACAGGGGGCGCAGGCGGCCCGAAGUGCUGACCACGUCAUCCUGCGUGCGUCGGAGCAGCAGCACCGGCCCCGGGUAGCAGCACAGCUGCUCGGCCACGUUGAGGUUGAAGUGCUCGCGCACGGUGCGCACCACCAGCCCCUUCCAACUGUGGGGCAUGACCUUCAGCGCCAGCGGCACAAGGUCGUCGAAGGUGGCGUCCAGCACCAGUGCACCCAGCUCCGGGUAGGUCAUGGUGGCCCAGGUGGCCGUGAAGCCGCCAACAGACCAGCCGUAGACCACCAGGUGCGCGGGCGGGAAGUGCAGGCGGUGCAGUGCGUACUCGACCACCACGUCCAUGGCGUUGGCGUCGUGCUGAGGGAAGGGCACGCCAGUGCUGCUGCCGAAGCCGGGGUGGUUCCAGCCCAGCACGGAGUAGCCGGCCUCGAGCGGUGCAGACAGACAGCCCAUCUCGUAGAAGCCCGCGUUGCCUUCGCAGCAGAUGACGAGGCGCGGCCCGUGCACGUGGCUGCCCGGGUGCUGGCGGCGGUCCAUGAACAUAGUGUCGAUCUCGUUGCCGUCACAGGCCACCAGCUUGGCGCGCCGGCCGUGGUAGCGCUCCACGAGGCGCUCUUGGCCCUGCUGCAGCAGCGGCAGCAGCGCGCGCGUCAUCAGGGACACGGAGCCGGGGUACACGAGCCAGCGGCCCAGCGAGUGGGCCAGCGCGUAGCUAGCGAGCUGGCCGGGCAGCUCGCGGAGCUGCUGCAAGAGGCACUGCGCCUGGCUGCGCGCCCCACGUGGAGGCCGCCCCAGCGCAUCCCCGCCCAGCGUCUCGUCCCGCAGCAACCACACGCCCGCCGCGGCUGCCGCGCAGGUCAGCGCCCGGUGGCUGCUGCUCCGGCCCACGGCGCGCACGUCAUCCCAGCGGAAGGCCACGGGCCAGCCGCGGAAUGGGUAGGUGUAGCUGGCGGUCAGGUAGAUCUUGAACACGCGCACCAGCGCCUUCACGAAGCAGAUGACGCACAUGAGCGGUGGCCCUAACGCCCAGCCGCUGGGCCGGGAUCGCCGCGAGAGGCACAGGGCAGUCUUAGGGGAUACCGGCUCCCGGACAAGCCCUGAUGGCCUUUGUGACCUGGCCUUCCAGGGCGGAGGGAAGGCUGCAUCCUGUUGCUAGGUGAUGGGUGCACAAAGGGUUCCCAGAGAUGAUGAACCCAAGGUUCUGCCCGUCCCCCGCCUUCGCCAAGACCCCACCAGCUAAACGCUCCCAGGCCCAGCUUUCCCACCCAUGAUUUGAGCAGCUACUGUCUCCCUCUUUCUUCCUUAUUUAUUUAUUAAAUUGAGAUGGGGUCUCACUAUGCUGCCUAGGCUGGUCUUGAACCCCUGGGCUCAAGCGAUCCUCCCGCCUCCACCUCCCACAGUGUUGGGAUUACAGGUGUGAGUCCCUGCACCCCGCCUCCACCUCCCACAGUGUUGGGAUUACAGGUGUGAGUCCCUGCACCCCGCCUCCCUCUUCCUUAAAUUUAAGAUGGACAGCCCCACGGGCCAAAAAGGGACAGCAAGGCCUCCUCCGCCUGUACCAGGCUUGCUGUGGGUCCUGCAAGUUUCCCUUCAGGGUCUGCUGGUUUAAACCUCAUCUCCCCAGGACGGCCGGGGUCAGAGACAGGGCUGCUGCUGCACCAAAAAGGCGGUAUUUGCUCUCGGCCCGGCCCCUCCUCUCCACACCUUCCUUCUUCGGUGCUGACCAGAAACAAGCCCUCUCCUUUUCUGGAUCCUCUUUUCACUGGCUGCCAGCAACAGCAGUGACCUUCUGGGGCGGGUCCUGCCUGGCUGGGGUUCCUCUUUCUCGCUCCUGGGUCGAGCCCCCACUCCCAGGCUGCGCCUCCCUCUUUUCUGGAGAGGUAUCUUUUCUCCUGCCCUGGAAAGGGCCAGCCCACCUGAGGGCAGGGUCGGAAGCCGCCUGCCAGGAGGAGCCCCAGGGAAGAGGGCAGCUCCAGGUACUCAACAGCUCCCCAGACCAGAAACAAACAUGCUACAAUCAGGGAGUUUGGCAAAUCCAGCCAGAGCCUCUGAGCCCAGGUGCCAGGCCCGCCUGGGACCCCAGCCUUCUGGGGAAGGGGUAGUUUCAGGCUGAAGCACCCCCUCUCUGCUCUCCUGCUCAGCGUCUGGGUUAGAGGCACUGCCUGACCCUAACAGGCCCCGCCCCUAGUUGGGGGAGUCAGCUGCUGCCUUUAGGGGUUGGGGGACAGAAGACAGGGACCAAUUAACAAAGGGAGCGAUUUGGGGGGCUAUUACCCCCAUUCUAGGUUGCCAGAUAAAAUACAGAAUAAUAUGCCAGUUAAAUUGGAAUUACAAAUAAACAAAUACUUUUUGGGUAUAAGUAUGUUCCAACUUCUGCUUGAGACAUUAUUUUAAAAUUGUUUAUCUGAAAUUCAAAUUUAACUGGAUAUCCUGUUUUUUCUGUUUGUUUGUUUGUUUGUUUUUGAGACGGAGUCUCACUCUUGUCGCCCAGGCUGGAGUGCAAUGGUGCAAUCUCAGCUCACUGCAACCUCUGCCUCCUGGGUGUUCAAGCAAUUCUCCUGCCUCAGCCUCCCAAGUAGCUGGGAUUACAGGUGCCCGCCACCAUGCCCGGC